rnacentral:rRNA from 1 species
UACGGAGGGUGCAAGCGUUAUCCGGAUUCACUGGGUUUAAAGGGUGCGUAGGCGGGCAGGUAAGUCCGUGGUGAAAUCUCUGAGCUUAACUCAGAAACUGCCAUGGAUACUAUUUGUCUUGAAUAUUGUGGAGGUGAGCGGAAUAUGUCAUGUAGCGGUGAAAUGCUUAGAUAUGACAUAGAACACCAAUUGCGAAGGCAGCUCACUACACAAUUAUUGACGCUGAGGCACGAAAAGCGUGGGGGAUCAAACAGG